rnacentral:rRNA from 1 species
GAUGAACGCUGGCGGCGUGCCUAACACAUGCAAGUCGAACGGAGACGUUUUGGAAAUCUCUUCGGAGCUGGAAUUCUCGACUUAGUGGCGGCCGGGUGAGUAACGCGUGAGCAAUCUGCCUUUAAGAGGGGGAUAACAGUCGGAAACGGCUGCUAAUACCGCAUCACGCAUUACAUUCGCAUGUUUUUGAUGCCAAAGGAGCAAUCCGCUUUUAGAGGGGCUAGUGUCUGAUUGGCUAGUUGGCGAGGUAACGGCCCACCAAGGCGACGAGCAGUAGCCGGCCGGAACGGUGACACGGCCACAAUGGGUCUGGGACGCGGCCGAGACUCCUACGGGGGGCAGCAGGGGAGAAUAUUGCGCAAUGGGGGAGUCCGUGACGCAGCAACGCCGCGUGAUUGAAGAAGGUAUUCGGGUUGUAAAGAUCUGUAAUCAGGGACGAAAGAAAUGACGGUACCUGAAGAAUAAGCCCCGGCUAACUACGUG